rnacentral:rRNA from 1 species
GAAAGUUACGGCGGCGACGGAUUGGCUCGCGUCCGAUUAGCUGGUUGGCGGGGUAACGGCCCACCAAGGCUACGAUCGGUAGGGGUUCUGAGAGGAAGGCCCCCCACAAUGGGACUGAGACACGGCCCAUACUCCUACGGGAGGCAGCAGUGAGGAAUAUUGGUCAAUGGGCGGAAGCCUGAACCAGCCAUGCCGCGUGCGGGAAGGAGGCCCUAUGGGCUGUGAACCGCUUUUGCCUGGGGGCAAUAAGGGCGUCGCGCACGUCCGAUGAGAGUACCAGGCGAAUAAGCAUCGGCUAACUCCGUGCCAGCAGCCGCGGUAAUACGGGGGAUGCGAGCGUUAUCCGGAUUCAUUGGGUUUAAAGGGUGCGUAGGCUGUGCGUCAAGUCGGGGGUGAAAUUCCGGUGCUCAACACCGGGGCUGCCCUUGAUACUGUCGCGCUGGAGUGCGGAUGCCGCCGGAGGAAUGAGUGGUGUAGCGGUGAAAUGCUUAGAUAUCACUCAGAACACCGAUUGCGAAGGCAUCUGGCGAAUCCGUAACUGACGCUGAGGCACGAAAGCGUGGGGAUAGAACAGGAUUAGAUACCCUGGUAUUCCACGCCGUAAACGAAGAUGGCUAACCGCCGGCGACACACUGUCGGUGGCCAAG